rnacentral:rRNA from 1 species
AGCUAAUAGAUACCCGGGUAGUCCACGCCCUAAACGAUGUCUACUAGUUGUUGGUGGAGUAAAAAUCCAUGAGUAAACGCAGCUAAACGCGUGAAGUAGACCGCCUGGGGAGUACGGUCGCAAGAUUAAAACUCAAAGGAAUUGACGGGGGCCCGGCACAAGCGGUGGAUUAUGUGGAUUAAAUUCGAUGCAACGCGAAAAACCUUACCUGGCCUUGACAUGCCACUAACGAAGCAGAGAUGCAUUAGGUGCCCGUAACGGGAAAGUGGACACAGGUGCUGCAUGGCUGUCGUCAGCUCGUGUCGUGAGAUGUUGGGUUAAGUCCCGCAACGAGCGCAACCCUUGCCAUUAAUUGCCAUCAUUUAAGUUGGGUCACUUUAAUGGGACUGCCGGUGACAAACCCGGAGGAAGGUGGGGAUGACGUCAAGUCCUCAUGGCCCUUAUGGCCAGGGCUUC